AGGAAAGAGGUCUCCAGUUUCCUUCUGCAGCAGCGCAGCAUACGGGGUGCACAGUGAUUCACCCAAACGGCAGCUAUACUGCCGGGGCUGGUGAGAUGUGGUCAUUCACAAGGCAAGCUUGCCAGCUGGUUGCUGCCCGGAGUCGCCAUGAAGGAAUGUGAUGUAGCCUAUUGGAGGAGAACCAAAGCCCCCCAGAAAGCAGUCAGACCAGCUGCCGACAUGUUCUUCGGGGGUCUUCCAGGCCCACUGACGGUCCAGCUGAGCACAGCUGCCAGCUCCCGGGCCGAGCAGCAGGGCGUGCCGGCCACCUCGUAGGUCUUGUGAAAACGCGAGUAGUCCACCUUGUAGUGGCUCUUCUCCUCGAAGACCACGGGCUCAAAGCGGUGGCCCCACAGGAUCUCGCUGGCCAGGUAGGAGCUGCGGGCCUGGGUGGUCAUGGCCGUGGCCUCCACCAUGCCCUCCAGGAUGACCACGAUCUCGAAGUCCUCCGACUCCAGCUCCUCCUUGCCCAUGCCAUAGAGCGGGCUGUCCUCGUCGAUCUCGUGGACAAUGAUGAUGGGCGACACCAGGAAGAUGCGGUCCAGGCCAAUGUCAUAGCCCACGUUGAGGUCCCGCUGGUCCAGGGGCAGGUACUCGCCCUCCUGGGUCAUGUAGGGCUUGAUGAGCUGGGCCCGCACGUGGGCCUCCACAAUGUGGCUCUUGCGUAGGUUGCCCACGCGCCACAUGAGGCAGAGCUUGCCGUCGCGCACCGAGAUGACCGCGUGGUGGCUGAACAGCAGCGUCUGUGCCCGCUUCUUGGGCCGCGCCAUCUUGGCCAUGAUGGUGCCGAUCAUGAAGGAGUCGAUGACGCAGCCCACGAUGGACUGGACCACCACAGCGAUGACCGCCAGCGGGCACUCCUCCGUCACGCACCGGAAGCCGUAGCCGAUGGUUGUCUGCGUCUCCACCGAGAACAAGAAGGCACCCAGGAAGCCGUUCACGUGCAUGAUGCAGGGCUUGGGGGUCGCCGGGGCUGCCCCGCCACCUCCCGCCGCCGGCCCCCCCGCCGUGGGCACCCCUGGGCUGGCCUCCAGGUCACCGUGGAAGAAGGCGAUACACCA